CACCCUUUGUGACAUACCUAUAACUGUUGCUUCGGCGGGUAGGGUCUCCGCGACCCUCCCGGCCUCCCGCCUCCGGGCGGGUCGGCGCCCGCCGGAGGAUAACCAAACUCUGAUUUAACGACGUUUCUUCUGAGUGGUACAAGCAAAUAAUCAAAACUUUUAACAACGGAUCUCUUGGUUCUGGCAUCGAUGAAGAACGCAGCGAAAUGCGAUAAGUAAUGUGAAUUGCAGAAUUCAGUGAAUCAUCGAAUCUUUGAACGCACAUUGCGCCCGCCAGCAUUCUGGCGGGCAUGCCUGUUCGAGCGUCAUUUCAACCCUCAAGCUCUGCUUGGUGUUGGGGCCCUACAGCUGAUGUAGGCCCUCAAAGGUAGUGGCGGACCCUCUCGGAGCCUCCUUUGCGUAGUAACUUUACGUCUCGCACUGGGAUCCGGAGGGACUCUUGCCGUAAAACCCCCAAUUUUCCAAAGGUUGACCUCGGAUCAGGUAGGAAUACCCGCUGAACUUAAGCAUAUCAAUAAG
rnacentral:rRNA from 1 species